ACACCCCUCCCUCCAAAGUUGGAGGGAGGGAUGGAGAAGCAGCACCCAAGUCACUUCCUCGCUCCCACUCCUCAAGAACAGGAGCAUGAUGAGAGUCAGGAGAGAAAUGCCCACUGGGAAGAACUCUCCUCUUAACAGGAACCUGGGCAGCCUGGAGAUAAUCUUCUGUUAUUUGCCUGGUUGAAGCAUGUGAAAACAGAGACAAGAGUAUUCUCAUGGAACAAAAUACAGACAGCAUCUAGCACAACAAAGGAACAACUUUUCCAGAACUUUAAGGAUAUCAUGUUUUCAGAAAAUACCUCAGCAUUAACUAACACCAAAAGAUCCUUCUCUGAGAUUAAACUGUCUGAAA